UUCUGGUUGAUCCUGCCGGACCUGACUGCUAUCGGAUUGAUACUAAGCCAUGCAAGUCUUUGUAGUAAUACAAGGCAUACGGCUCAGUAACGCGUAGUCAACCUACCCUAUGGAUGGGGAUAAUCUCGGGAAACUGAGCAUAAUACCCAACAGAUCAUCAAUUCUGGAAUGGUUGAUGAUUCAAAUGAUUUUUCGCCAUAGGAUGGGACUGCGGCCUAUCAACUUGUUGGUGAGGUAAUGGCCCACCAAGGCAAUUACAGGUACGGGCUCUGAGAGGAGAAGCCCGGAGAUGGGUACUGAGACAAGGACCCAGGCCCUAUGGGGCGCAGCAGGCGAGAAAACUUUGCAAUGUGCGAAAGCACGACAAGGUUAAUCCGAGUGAUUUCUGCUAAAGGAAUCUUUUACCAGUUCUAAAAAUACUGGCGAAUAAGGGGUGGGCAAGUUCUGGUGUCAGCCGCCGCGGUAAAACCAGCACCUCAAGUGGUCAGGAGGAUUAUUGGGCCUAAAGCAUCCGUAGCCGGCUCUGUAAGUUUUCGGUUAAAUCUGUACGCUCAACG
rnacentral:rRNA from 1 species